UUGGAGGGCAAGUCUGGUGCCAGCAGCCGCGGUAAUUCCAGCUCCAAUAGCGUAUAUUAAAGUUGUUGCAGUUAAGAAGCUCGUAGUUGAAUUUCGGGGUCAGUAGGUCGGUCGUGCCACUGGUAUGAACUGGUUUUACUGAUUCCUCCCUCUUGAAGAACUGUAAUGCCAUUAAUUUGGUGUUGCAGGGAAUCAGGACUGUUACUUUGAAAAAAUUAGAGUGUUUAAAGCAGGCUUUAGCUUGAAUACAUUAGCAUGGAAUAAUGAAAUAGGACGUUUGAUCCUAUUUUGUUGGUUUCUAGGAUUGACGUAAUGAUUAAUAGGGAUAGUUGGGGGCAUUAGUAUUCAAUUGUCAGAGGUGAAAUUCUUGGAUUUAUUGAAGACUAACUACUGCGAAAGCAUUUGCCAAGGAUGUUUUCAUUAAUCAAGAACGAAAGUUAGGGGAUCGAAGACGAUCAGAUACCGUCGUAGUCUUAACCAUAAACUAUGCCGACUAGGGAUCGGAUGAUGUUAAUUUUUUAAUGACUCAUUCGGCGCCUUACGGGAAAC
rnacentral:rRNA from 1 species